rnacentral:rRNA from 1 species
GUCUGUGUCCAUACCAACCUGAACUUGUCUAUCUCUGAUGUUGAGAACUAAGCAGGGCCAGGCCUAGUUAGUACUUGGAUGAGAGCUCCACAUCAAACAGAUGGGCCUUAAUAAAGGCA